rnacentral:rRNA from 1 species
GACGAACGCUGGCGGCGUGCCUAAUACAUGCAAGUCGAGCGAGUCUGCCUUGAAGAUCGGAGUGCUUGCACUCUGUGAAACAAGAUACAGGCUAGCGGCGGACGGGUGAGUAACACGUGGGUAACCUGCCCAAGAGAUCGGGAUAACACCUGGAAACAGAUGCUAAUACCGGAUAACAACAGAUGAUGCCUAUCAACUGUUUAAAAGAUGGUUCUGCUAUCACUCUUGGAUGGACCUGCGGUGCAUUAGCUAGUUGGUAGGGUAACGGCCUACCAAGGCGAUGAUGCAUAGCCGAGUUGAGAGACUGAUCGGCCACAUUGGGACUGAGACACGGCCCCAACUCCUACGGGAGGCAGCAGUAGGGAAUCUUCCACAAUGGACGCAAGUCUGAUGGAGCAACGCCGCGUGAGUGAAGAAGGGUUUCGGCUCGUAAAGCUCUGUUGUUGGUGAAGAAGGACAGGGGUAGUAACUGACCUUUGUUUGACGGUAAUCAAUUAGAAAGUCACGGCUAACUAAGU